GGGGACGACCUGGUUUCGACGUGGGUUACAAAGCAGCGCAGGGCAUACCGAGGGCUGGUCACCUCGUAAAUCCAACCGGAAAUUAAAUAACUGCUAACGACGAAUCGUUCGCUCUAGCCGCUUAAUAACCGGUUAGCUCCACACCGUCUCGUCCCUGGGGCGGGCUGGCAACAGCAUGUGGAGUCAUCUACAGGGAAUCGCUUCAGGUCGGGUCACUUGGCCUGAGGUUAAAUUUAGGUGACUCGUCCAGCCGCAGCGUGCGCGUCCGCGUCGUCUGGAUUAAAACAAAUGGCAGCGCUAAGUAUGUAGAACUGUCUGUAGAGGGCUUGCGGACGCGGGUUCGAUUCCCGCCGUCUCCACCA
rnacentral:tmRNA from 1 species